rnacentral:misc_RNA from 1 species
GGAACAACCGACUUCACACGCUGCAUAGAUAUGAUGUAUAUGAAGAGUUCCUCAAUCAAUUGAUCAAUCAAUCAAUCAAUCAAUAAUAAUAAUAAUUGAGCAGAAUGGGAGUUGUAUGUUGAUUCUUAAUUAGAUGAAAGUGACUAAUGGAUUUAUGUAGCAAAGAUGUAAAAGAUAAUGGCAGGAGGGGAGAGGGGCUCACAUCAAACCACUGUAACUCUUCUUGUAGUUGGAGUGCAGGACCGGGCUUGGUGCCUCCAGUGUA